ensembl:lncRNA
UUCUUUGAAAAAAAAAUCAUCAUGAAUUUUGGCGCAAAAAAAACGCCUUACUAUACUAUGUCGAAAAAAAAUGAGAUUUUUCAAACAUGUUGUAAAAACGUGCCAUAUGAUGAAAUAAUGUAAAGGAGGCCGUGAAAAACACUCCAGAAAGGUUUUCUUUGAAAAAAAAAUCAUCAUGAAUUUUGGCGCAAAAAAACGCCUUACUUUACUAUGUCGAAAAAAAAUGAGAUUUUUCAAACAUGUUGUAAAAACGUGCCAUAUGAUGAAAUAAUGUAAAGGAGGCCGUGAAAAACACUCCAGAAAGGUUUUCUUUGAAAAAAAAAUCAUCAUGAAUUUUGGCGCAAAAAAAACGCCUUACUAUACUAUGUCGAAAAAAAAUGAGAUUUUUCAAACAUGUUGUAAAAACGUGCCAUAUGAUGAAAUAAUGUAAAGGAGGCCGUGAAAAACACUCCAGAAAGGUUUUCUUUGAAAAAAAAAUCAUCAUGAAUUUUGGCGCAAAAAAAACGCCUUACUAUACUAUGUCGAAAAAAAAUGCAAAUUUUCAAACAUGUUGUAAAAACGUGCCAUAUGAUGAAAUAAUGUAAAGGAGGCCGUGAAAAACACUCCAGAAAGGUUUUCUUUGAAAAAAAAAUCAUCAUGAAUUUUGGCGCAAAAAAAACGCCUUACUAUACUAUGUCGAAAAAAAAUUAGAUUUUUCAAACAUGUUGUAAAAACGUGCCAUAUGAUGAAAUAAUGUAAAGGAGGCCGUGAAAAACACUCCAGAAAGGUUUUCUUUGAAAAAAAACUCAUCAUGAAUUUUGGCGCAAAAAAAACGCCUUACUAUACUAUGUCGAAAAAAAAUGCAAUUUUUCAAACAUGUUGUAAAAACGUGCCAUAUGAUGAAAUAAUGUAAAGGAGGCCGUGAAAAACACUCCAGAAAGGUUUUCUUUGAAAAAAAAAAUCAUCAUGAAUUUUGGCGCAAAAAAAACGCCUUACUAUACUAUGUCGAAAAAAAAUGCAAAUUUUCAAACAUGUUGUAAAAACGUGCCAUAUGAUGAAAUAAUGUAAAGGAGGCCGUGAAAAACACUCCAGAAAGGUUUUCUUUGAAAAAAAAAUCAUCAUGAAUUUUGGCGCAAAAAAAACGCCUUACUAUAC